rnacentral:rRNA from 1 species
UGGGCGGGACGGGGUGAGUAAUGUCUGGGAAACUGCCCGAUGGGGGGGGAUAACUACUGGAAACGGUAGCUAAUACCGCAUAACGUCGCAAGACCAAAGAGGGGGACCUUCGGGCCUCUUGCCAUCGGAUGUGCCCAGAUGGGAUUAGCUAGUAGGUGGGGUAACGGCUCACCUAGGCGACGAUCCCUAGCUGGUCUGAGAGGAUGACCAGCCACACUGGAACUGAGACACGGUCCAG